UAUUUAUUGGUGUAAGAGGCACGAAAGUUUUUGAUACUUAGGGAUACAGUUUAAUUCUGUUAUAAAUAA
rnacentral:tRNA from 1 species